rnacentral:lncRNA from 1 species
UGCCGUCUGUGGGAAGCUGCCCUAACCCAUUCGCCUUCCCCGGCUUGGAAAAACAAUGUCCCAGUGAUGAACUGCCUUGCAGAUUUAUUUUGAUUUAAAUCGCCUUCCCUUCAACCCAAACCAGGGCACAGAAAGGUGGUUAGAAUGUUCCAGCACAAACUCAUAUGAGCACAGCAGCUAUUCCAGGGAAAAGCGUCCUCCCUACCUGCAAGAAGCUUCCUUUCAAGACACUGAUAUUAUCAAGAACGUGAAGGAAGAGUGGCAGCGGCCCACCUGAGGCACAGCAGAGCUGGGGGUGAUGAGAGAAAUUUAAGGGAAAUGGCCCCUGUUGGACACGGGCUUCCUUUGACUGUGUGGGAAUCCCACCUGGCCACAGACAAAGGGUAGAGGAAGCAAGUGCCCCAGGAGUCUUGAUCUCAGCCCAGCUCAGCAUGAGGAAAGCAGCAAGCAGGAAGAGUGAGUGUUCCUGGUACCACGGCUACCAGGCUCUUCCCAGUUUAGAGUGCUCAACAUUCUAAAACUUGACCAGCCAGCUGGGAGAUUUGGGUAUUCAGAUUUUUGGGUGCCUUAAGAUUCCACUGGCAGUAGAGAAUCACUAAAUGUCCAUUUCUGAAUGAAUUCUACUCCCCAGAGACAUUAACACACGAUGUACUUGGCUUGAAUCCUGUUUGAUUUAAGAAAAUCGGCCAAGAGUCCUUCAUAAGUUACUCACAUCUGAGGCACCAUCGGGCUGACCGUGGGACACUCCAGAUGGGGAGUGCUGUGUACCCUCUGCCUCUCCUGUGACCCGAACACCUCCUCUCUCUCUCCAUGGACGACGUUUUCAUCUUAUGGUCUGGGAAUGCUACCUGACCACCCUGGAGGGUCACCCAAGGAAAGAGUUCGUUCCAAAGACAGGUGCUCCUCUGAGUUCCUCUGGAAUCUGGCAAGGUGCCGAGCUUGGACGCAAGGCUUCCAUGAGGCUGUGAAGGAGGUUGCACGGAAACUGAACCUGGUGUGGAGGGCCAGGAGAGGCUUCGGGACUGAAGGGCAGAGCAGCAGACUCCGGGGCUCAUGUAGGAAGGAACAUGCCUUCAGCCAAAGAUUAUCCACGCUGCAUGGAGACUCUUGCUAAAUAUCACUGGGACAAAUGCAGUGGCUUAAUUUCAUUCAAUCAUUUACUGAGGAUCUGAAAUGCAUGCGGUUAGUGGUGAGAAUACUGACUCAGGGCUGUCCCUUCCUCUGGAGUUGACAGCCGACUGCGCAGGAAGGGAAGGUGAGGGUCAAACACACAGGUCAACAUCAGAAACAGCACUUCCGCCUUCCAUUGGCCCCGAUGUUUCAUGGAGGCCCCGAGGAGGCUGCGAAGGAACAUGGCAGUGACUGCUCCGUGGCUCUGCGUGGUGGCCAGCAACUGUUUGGGCACUAUGACCAUGUACGUUUGACAAAGCGCAUGCAAUUAUUUGAAUAUUCUAUAGUUCUUUUAGGAAACUGAGUAGAAACGGAAAAUUAAAAGUGCUGAUGUUAGUAAUAGGAAACAUGGAUCUCAACAGUGCAACUGUGGCAAAGAUAAAAAACAAACGGCAUGCCAACGGGCUCAUGACAGACACAACCGCGGCCUUGCUGGUCUUGAGCUGCCGUUGCUGAUGACGAUGAUGA